CGUCGAGCGGCGGACGGGUGAGUAAUGCBUAGGAAUUUGCCCUGACGAGGGGGAUAACYAUUGGAAACGAUGGCUAAUACCGCAUGCGCCCUACGGGCCAAAAKAGGGGACCUUCGGGCCUYCYGCGAUUGGAUAWGCCUAAGUGKGAUUAGCUAGUUGGUGAGGUAAUGGCUCACCAAGGCGACGAUCUCUAGCUGGUCUGAGAGGAUGAUCAGCCACACUGGRACUGAGACACGGYCCAGACUCCUACGGGAGGCAGCAGUGGGGAAUAUUGCACAAUGGGCGCAAGCCUGAUGCAGCCAUGCCGCGUGUGUGAAGAAGGCCUUCGGGUUGUAAAGCACUUUCAGCAGUGAGGAAGGGUGUGUCGUUAAUAGCGGGUVWWUUUGACGUUAGCUGCAGAAGAAGCACCGGCUAACUCCGUGCCAGCAGCCGCGGUAAUACGGAGGGUGCGAGCGUUAAUCGGAAUUACUGGGCGUAAAGCGCAUGCAGGUGGUUUGUUAAGUCAGAUGUGAAAGCCCUGGGCUCAACCUGGGAACKGCAUUUGAAACUGGCAAACUAGAGUACUGUAGAGGGGGGUAGAAUUUCAGGUGUAGCGGUGAAAUGCGUAGAGAUCUGAAGGAAUACCGGUGGCGAAGGCGGCCCCCUGGACAGAUACUGACACUCAGAUGCGAAAGCGUGGGGAGCAAACAGGAUUAGAUACCCUGGUAGUCCACGCCGUAAACGAUGUCUACUUGGAGGUUGUGCCCUUGAGGAGUGGCUUUCGGAGCUAACGCGUUAAGUAGACCGCCUGGGGAGUACGGUCGCAAGAUUAAAACUCAAAUGAAUUGACGGGGGCCCGCACAAGCGGUGGAGCAUGUGGUUUAAUUCGAUGCAACGCGAAGAACCUUACCUACUCUUGACAUCCAGAGAACUUACCAGAGAUGGAUUGGUGCCUUCGGGAACUCUGAGACAGGUGCUGCAUGGCUGUCGUC
rnacentral:rRNA from 1 species